AUGCUUGUUUUCAUUUUUUUCUUAGCUUGGUGUACAUUGAAGAGAUUGAGACACAGAAGUGGUAACGGUUGGCUUCUAGGAACAACUAGUCAUGAACUACCGAGAAGCAACAAUUUGAGGGUGAUAAAAGAAAACAUGGGUAAGGCUGCUGAAAGUUCAGCUUCUAGUAGAAUUCUGAAGACCUCACAGACCAGGAAUGCUGCAGACAUGCUCCCUUUCAGGUCAGUCAUCAUUGCUGUGUAUUUUAUAACAGCUCCUGGAAUAUUUAUUUUCCUCUCAAUUUUUCUUUCUGAUUCUGUUGACCACAAUUAA
rnacentral:lncRNA from 1 species